UAUGAUAGCUAAGAAUAAUCAGGCUAAAUACGCACUACGUGUUGCUGCCUUGUUUUUAUUUGCAAGCAAACUGGGCUGUGUUUUCGGGCUUCCAAAUUCGGGUGCCCUGUGUUUGUUUGUUAUCUUGAAAGAACUAGCAACAACAGGGCCCAUCUGAUGGAGAAUGGAGAGCAUCCAGGGGAACUGCUAUUCGCGGCUCUGUGUGGAGCGAUGUCGGGGCUUCGCAUAGAGGGGGGAGCUAGCAACUUUAAAUGGGCUGGCCCAUUUACAGGCUGCAGCGAUCCGAUUUUGGGCCUUCCCCAGUCGUUUUUUUUUGUUUUGAAAAACUUCUAGAAGGUACCAUGAAAGGUUUUUUUUUAUUUUUCUUUUUUUCUUUUCUGUUUCUGUUUUCAAAAAUGUUUUCUAUUUUAAAAAACUGUUUUCUAUUUUCCAAAAACUGUUCUUGGUUUCAAAAUUUGUUC
rnacentral:lncRNA from 1 species